CACGUAGGCACCAAGCGUUGUCCGGAUUUAUUGGGCGUAAAGAGCUCGUAGGCGGCUUGGCAAGUCGGGUGUGAAACCUCCAGGCUCAACCUGGAGACGCCACUCGAUACUGCCAUGGCUAGAGUCCGGUAGGGGACCACGGAAUUCCUGGUGUAGCGGUGAAAUGCGCAGAUAUCAGGAGAACACCCGUGGCGAAAGGCGGGCUC
rnacentral:rRNA from 1 species